UUAUAGUCAUUCGACCAUGGUUUUCAGACAAUUGAGCUUCUUUUCAGUAAAAAAAGGGUUUCUAAGGGUGCCGUCGGCGGACUGAUCCCUUCCCCCGUGAGGGGGGAAAAGGUGCCGCCGAGGCAACAAGGGGUUUUCACAAAGGGUAGACCGUUGGCGCGGGGGGUUAAACCCCCGCAGCUUCGGGCUGGCCUUGCGGCCGGUUUAUUUGGUAAUGAUCCUUCCGCAGGUUCACCUACGGAAA
rnacentral:misc_RNA from 1 species